UGUGCCCAGAUGGGAUUAGCUUGUUGGUGAGGUAACGGCUCACCAAGGCGACGAUCCCUAGCUGGUCUGAGAGGAUGACCAGCCACACUGGAACUGAGACACGGUCCAGACUCCUACGGGAGGCAGCAGUGGGGAAUAUUGCACAAUGGGCGCAAGCCUGAUGCAGCCAUGCCGCGUGUAUGAAGAAGGCCUUCGGGUUGUAAAGUACUUUCAGCGGGGAGGAAGGUGUUGUGGUUAAUAACCACAGCAAUUGACGUUACCCGCA
rnacentral:rRNA from 1 species